ensembl:lncRNA
GAACACCUCAUGAAGGAGCGAUGGCAGCUCUGUCCACCUUCCUGUACAGCAUAAAGAUGGCCAUGCAUCAGUGCCAUGGAAGCCAUGAGAACGUCUGCUAAAUCCUUUACAAGACUGAAGGUGGCACACAGCAGAGGGAAGACACUUGAGAGUGAGCCUGCUAUGACAAUUUCUACAUCAUUCAAACUUCAGCAACUGUUUGGCAUCUGUUUGACAUUUCUUCAGGAUCUAUAGCCACAAUCUGUUCUUUUGAGAGCAAGCAUGGACAUUCUUGAACUGAAACAGUUUUCCAACCAACACUGCAGGGGGGCUUAAAAAAGAAAAGUCACUUAUCCCUUACAUAAUUAAGGGAAACUCACAAUGAGAAAAUCCUAACAAAUACUUCACUUUCAUACAAAAACUCCAAGGAAAGAAGAGCAGAUGAUUGAGUAUAGUCCACACCAAGAAACAAUCUUUAAGAGGAAUGAAAUGUUAGAUUACUUUCAAGGAUACCCUAAGCCAAUAUUACUGUAAAAAUGGCUGUGUCUUGUGCUAGCAUUCCAAAUUUAACUGGAAG